rnacentral:lncRNA from 1 species
CGCACACACACACACACACACACACACACACACACACACACACACACACACACACACACACACACACACACACACACACACACACACACACACACACACAUAUACGCCCACACACAUAUGCAAACACUGCAAACACGCGCACACACACACAACCUUCGGGACAGCUGGUGACCGGGGGAGAGCAAGGCAACCGCAGAAGGUUACUCUAAACACCGGUGAUUGCACCCUGCUGUCCAUUCAGGAAUUAUUCUCUUCUCUCAACCAAUCAGAUCGUGCACUCAGACUGCCCAUUCAUAAAGAAACAGCACUGAGUUCCGCAUGUGUUUGGUCUAACUAUGGAGGAUCUGUGAGCGUUUUCUCAGCCUUAACGUGGACCAUAUGACAUCCAUCAGAAGCAGCAGUGUUAGCUGAGAUUUUUAUUUUUUUCACUUACCCUCUCGGAGCAUUUCCUCCUGACGUCUGGAAGCCUCUUACCAGGUUUGAAAGGUCCCCUUCUCAUUCUCUAUGACUCUCACUGUCUCGGUAUGUCUGUCUCUCUGUCUGUUUCCCUCUUCUUCCUCCUCUUUUUCUCUGUCCCCGCUCUCUCUCUAGCAGAUAAUCUGGGGUUCCCCUCCAGUUUGCCACUCUCAGGAAUAGAGAGAGAGAGAGAGAGAGAGAGAGAGAGAGAGAUAAUUGUCUCUCACCCUUCCACAACUUCACAGUUUCUGUGAAACUAAACUAAACCAAAUUCAAAAGAAUCUGUCCUUACAUCUUUCUUUCUUUCUUUCUUUCUUUCUUUCUUUCUUUCUUUCUUUCUUUCUUUCUUUCUUUCUUUCUUUCUUUCUUUCUUUCUUUCUUUCUUUCUUUCUUUCCUUCUUUCUCUGUCAGUAUUUUUUUCUACUCCAGUUGCAUUCUGUUACUGAGUGUAAUCAGUAACAGGCUUAAAGUGACAGCGCUGUGCUGUGCUGAAGCCGACACACUCUCUUUCUCUCUCUCUCUCUCUCUCUCUCUCUCUCUCUCUCUCUCUCUCUCUGUGUGUAUGAGUCCCUCUGGGAUAAAGGUGCUUUCCCAGCACACUCGAGACACCGCUGCCGACCACGCUCUCACAGCCCGGCCCUGCCGAGAGAAACUACUAUCAUAUGUUACACAGCACUAAGACUCUCCUUCUCCCUCAGUCUC